GAGUGCAGGAACCGCGAGACGUGGCAGCGCCGUGCCCCGGAGGGUGGGGGCGUCGUCCUGGAGUCUCGCGGGGGACCUAGACGGCUUCAAAUCCGACCGAGUGCGUUCUCAGACGCUGGGGGAAAAUCAGAAGUGGCGACCGGCAGAUAAGAAAACUGAGUCAAAUGUAAAGAUGAAUGAUGCUUUUGGAUGGGAAGACUCUAUCAUAAAGAUCUCAGUUUUCUUUUGUUUCCUCUGACAGGUUACGAGACAAACACCCCGUUUACUUGAGUUUUAAAAGGGUAUUUCCUUUGCCCCACUUGAAUGACCAA